GGUUUAAUUNGAAGCAACGCGAAGAACCUUACCAAAUCUUGACAUCNUCUGACUCCUCUAGAGAUAGAGUUUUCCCCUUCGGGGGGCAGAGUGACAGGUGGUGCAUGGUNGUCGUCAGCUCGUGUCGUGAGAUGUUGGGUUAAGUCCCGCAACGAGCGCAACCCUUAAGCUUAGUUGCCAUCAUUAAGUUGGGCACUCUAAGUUGACUGCCGGUGACAAACCGGAGGAAGGUGGGGAUGACGUCAAAUCAUCAUGCCCCUUAUGAUUUGGGCUACACACGUGCUACAAUGGACAAUACAAAGGGCAGCGAAAUCGCGAGGUCAAGCAAAUCCCAUAAAGUUGUUCUCAGUUCGGAUUGUAGUCUGCAACUCGACUAUAUGAAGCUGGAAUCGCUAGUAAUCGUAGAUCAGCAUGCUACGGUGAAUACGUUCCCGGGUCUUGUACACACCGCCCGUCACACCACGAGAGUUUGUAACACCCGAAGCCGGUGGAGUAACCAUU
rnacentral:rRNA from 1 species